AUUGAACGCUGGCGGCGUGCUUAACACAUGCAAGUCGAUCGGUAACGCGGGGGCAACCCUGGCGACGAGAGGCGGACGGGUGAGGAACGCUUGGGAAUCUGCCUAUCAGCGGGGGACAACACGGGGAAACUCGUGCUAAUACCGCAUACGCUCUACGGAGGAAAGCCGGGGACCGCAAGGCCUGGCACUGAUAGAUGAGCCCAAGCCGGAUUAGCUAGUUGGCGGGGUAACGGCCCACCAAGGCGACGAUCCGAAGCUGGUCUGAGAGGACGCACAGCCACACGGGGACGGACACACGGCCCAGACUCCGACGGGAGGGAGCAGUGGGGAAGAGUGGACAAUGGGGGAGACCCUGAUCCAGCGACGCCGCGUGGGCGAAGAAGGGCUGCGUGUUGUAAAGCCCGUUCGCUAGGGACGAAAGCUCUCGACCUAACACGUCGGGAGGUUGACUUAACCUACAAAAGAAGCACCGGCUAACUCUGUGCCAGCCGCCGCAGUAAGAC
rnacentral:rRNA from 1 species